rnacentral:rRNA from 1 species
ACAGCAGCAGCCGCGGGAAUACGUAGGUGGCAAGCGUUGUCCGGAAUUAUUGGGCGUAAGGGCUCGCAGGCGGUUUCUUAAGUCUGAUGUGAAGGCCCCCGGCUCAACCAGGGAGGGUCAUUGGAAACUGGGAAACUUGAGUGCAGAAGAGGAGAGUGGAAUUCCACGUGUAGCGGUGAAAUGCGUAGAGAUGUGGAGGAACACCAGUGGCGAAGGCGACUCUCUGGUCUGUAACUGACGCUGAGGAGCGAAAGCGUGGGGAGCGAACGGGAUUAGAUACCCCUGUAGUCCCUGUCUCUUAUACA